rnacentral:rRNA from 1 species
UACGAAGGGGCGAGCGUUGUUCGGAAUCACUGGGCGUAAAGGGCGCGUAGGCGGCCCUUCUUGUCGCGUGUGAAAGCCCCGGGCUCAACCUGGGAACGGCGCGCGAGACGGGAGGGCUGGAGUUCGGGAGAGGAGCGUGGAAUUCCCAGUGUAGAGGUGGAAAUCGUAGAUAUUGGGAAGAACACCGGUGGCGAAGGCGGCGCUCUGGACCGAGACUGACGCUGAGGUGCGAAAGCGGUGGGGAGCAAACAGGG